UAGCACAACCAAGAAAAGCGCGUAACACAAAUACACAGGUUUUUAAUUUUAAUUAACAUUUCUCUUUGUGAUAUAACCAACGAACAAUAUACUGAUAUAGAGCAUAAAGUAAAUGACACACUGAAUUUGUUAACGGGGUUCGUUUCCUAUAUCCACGGGACCUCGUCCAGAUUUCAUUAAUCACUAGAACAAGAAUGCAAAUACAUCAUUAUUUACUAACGUAUACAUCAGGCACAAACCUCCUGACACGCUUUUUUCUAGAUAGAUAUCUACGAAGAUUAGGAAUCAAGCACGCAUGCAUAGAUCUCAUCUGGCCGCACCAGAGCUCACUGUCUUCACACAGCUGCAAUCUUUCCAGACCUCCUCAAUGAACUAUAUUUGCUAAACUUCCCCUGAGUCAAGGCUUCAACCUUCCACCUCUCGGAAGGUACAUCACCAUGUACUUCACCAAGUACGUCACCGAGUACUUCACCAAGUACGUCACCGAGUACGUUAACACCAGACACAUACUAUAGAUACCAACGAGCACGUCACACUAACACACAGCUUGGUCACCACACCUCAACAGACACACCAAAUGUGUCUGAAACGCUUGAUCACCCAAGCACACACAAAGUUCACAAGAGAUACACACGAUGGCUAACUCCACCACACAAAGCGCCAACUCCAACGCCACCAAACUAAGUCCACAUCAGACUCCAUCGGCCACUACGUCAGACCGAAGGACAACACUCAACACUUAAUAAAACUCUCUCUCUCUUUUUACUUAAUCUAUGGGUGCUAAUUUCUCAUAAGGGCACGUCCCUCCUUAUAUAUAAACCAUAGACUUGCUCUCCAAGUUCAUUAAAUGCACCUUAAUGAACUUCCAUUCCCAUAUAACGAAACUUCCUAUUCCUCUCCAAGUAACACUUAUUCUCCAAGCAAAGCCUCUUUGCUUAAUGGAAAACGUCAUUUGUCUUUAACAAGAUAUUCUCUUUCCUUAUCCAAUCUCCACUUACACACGCAAUCACCUUAGACAAUCUCCUUGUAAGCAACUUCUCCACUCGACGUCCUGCCGUACGUCUUGACAUAGGUCUUGACACACCUUCUGAUGUACAUCACGAACUACGUACAUCAGAACCUCUCUGGAAAUAUUAUCUACAAUUUCCUCUCUUGCGAACAACAAAGAAGAUGAUCUAUCUAGACUCCCUCUCUACUCCAAGAAGACAAUCAACUGAUUCCCUCUCUACUUCGCGAAGACGAUUAAAGCUUCUGUCCAGGAGAAUGACGCGAGAACAACCAAUGGAAGAAGAUCUGGCAGCUGCGGAAGCCCUAAUACUCUUGAGCAAGAGCAAGACGCAAGCACCCAUUCAUCCACUUCCUUCUUUGAUCAUGUCUCCAAAUCUGUAUGAGUCUAGAUGUUCUCUCAUUGGAUGCUCACUGUCAGUCCAUAAACCUUUCAAAUGUUGCUCAACAAGUCACCGAAACAUGGCCAAGAUCAUGUCUUCACAAGACCUUCCAAUUUAGUUUUAGGAAAGAACGUGACAGCUUCUGCGGUUGCAUCCUCAUCAACAAACCCAAACACACAGAACUGUUCUGAAACCAAUGAUGUUGUGAAUCCUUCUGCUUUCACUGAAAAUAUGUUACACUCACUUAUUGAGACAAAGAAUUUUGUAACAUUUUUUGUGCAAAUUGGAAUUUCUUGAAACCGUGAAAGUCAGUUUUGAAGCAAACAACAAUAUUGAGUUCCUGCAAACUAAUCUCAUGACUCUCCUCUCCCCCACAAGUUUCAUCAAAGUAUAUCCUCAACUUUAUCUGAUUUUUUAUUUUAUUUUAUUGUUCUCCAUUUGGUGGUAAUUUGAAAUUAACUUAACAUGAACUUAUGAUCUAUAUCAUCUAAAGGUUGGUUACAAAAACAAUUGUUCUUAUGAUACAUAAUAUAUGUGUUGUUGUUCUUUAUAGUUGACAUGUUCUUUCAAUGAAACCUCUUAAAGCAAUGAGAUGGAUCUGUUGAGAUUAAAAGUGUAAUCAUGUUUAAGUUAUGAAAACAAUGAUAGAGAGGUAUGUUUCCUCGAGUGAUCGAAAGGACAUAUUGAAUUGAAAUGCACAAAGAUGUAUUUUAUUACAUAGUAUAGCUCAGCAAACACAAACUAUAUAUUAAACAUAAUGGUACUUGAUGGUUGUUGGGUUCUUCUCAAAGAUAUGCAAACAAAUUGGUAAUGAUAUUAUAUCAGCAAGAGAAGGUAAUGAACAGUAAACAAUACAAACCCAAGAUAGAACAUGAGAUAAAGGUAAAUUCAGUUUAAUUUCUAGACAAGUUAAUCGAUUAAUUACAGUUCCUAGCACAAUGAUAUGUCUCACAUGACUUAUGAUCCAUGUUCUAGAAUGCGGACGUUUAGCCGACAAGGCGCUCGGCGUUGAAUCUCGCCUCGAUUUUAGCCAAAUCGGUAUAAUUAAUUGGAGAAGCAAUAAAACGCUUUGAAAACCGAUUUAUUCAGCUAAAUUUUAGACUCUGGUGACAAAUGAUUGGCCCUGGUACAUGCCCAGUUGUCUGAGAAGAGUGGAGACUUCUCCUUGUAUUUAUAGUGGGCUGAAGACUCCUCUUAGAGUAAAAUUAGUUGAUGACGUAAAAAUGCAGUUGGUUUAAAAAAAAAAAUUAUUGACUCGGCGCAGUUUGAAAGAAAAGAAAAGUUACACUG